AAGAAGUAGAGCGACAGGCAAGUCUAGUACGACUAUAUUUUAGAGCACAGGCGCGGAACGGAAAGCCGCGUGCAAGCGAGGGAGGAGUCACAUAGGAAAAACCGUGUGGCAAUCCAAAGGCGUGAUGCGGACCGAACUAAAGUAGGGAAGUGUGUGAGCCAUGAAUCAAGAAAAGCCGCUAUUGUUUUUAAGAUACCCGUACCGUAAACCGACACAGGUGGAUGAGGAGAGAAUCCUAAGGCCGGCGGAAGAAGCAUUGUUAAGGAACUCGGCAAAAUGACCCCGUAACUUCGGGAGAAGGGGUGCCAACGAGAGUUGGCCGCAGAGAAUAGGCUCAAGCAACUGUUUAGCAAAAACACAGGUCUAUGCAAAACCGUAAGGUGAGGUAUAUGGGCUGACGCCUGCCCGGUGCUGGAAGGUUAAGAGGAGAGGUUAGCGCAAGCGAAGCUUUGAAUUUAAGCCCCAGUAAACGGCGGCCGUAACUAUAACGGUCCUAAGGUAGCGAAAUUCCUUGUCGGGUAAGUUCCGACCCGCACAAAAGGCGUAAUGAUUUGAGCGCUGUCUCGACAAUGCAUCCGGUGAAAUUGAAGUACCAGUGAAGAUGCUGGUUACCCGCGCCAGGACGGAAAGACCCCAUGGAGCUUUACUCCAGUUUGGUACUGGGGUCCGGCAGUGCAUGUACAGGAUAGGUGGGAGGCUGAGAACCUGGAACGCCAGUUUCAGGGGAGCCAUUGUUGGGAUACCACCCUUGUGCUGCUGGGCUUCUAACCAGCGGCCUUUAUCAGGCCGGGGGACAAUGCCAGACGGGGAGUUUGACUGGGGCGGUCGCCUCCGAAAGGGUAUCGGAGGCGCUCAAAGGUUCCCUCAGAAUGGUCGGAAACCAUUCGAAGAGUGCAAAGGCAGAGGGGAGCUUGACUGCGACACCGACGGGCGGAGCAGGUACGAAAGUAGGACUUAGUGAUCCGGUGGUAUUAAGUGGGAAUGCCAUCGCUCAACGGAUAAAAGCUACCCUGGGAUAACAGGCUUAUCACUCCCAAGAGUUCACAUCGACGGAGUGGUUUGGCACCUCGAUGUCGGCUCAUCGCAUCCUGGGGCUGUAGUAGGUCCCAAGGGUUGGGCUGUUCGCCCAUUAAAGCGGUACGCGAGCUGGGUUCAGAACGUCGUGAGACAGUUCGGUCCCUAUCCGGCGUGGGCGUAGGAUAUUUGAGAGGAGCUGUCCUUAGUACGAGAGGACCGGGAUGGACUGACCUCUGGUGUACCGGUUGAACCGCCAGGUUCACGGCCGGGUAGCCAAGUCGGGAAGGGAUAAACGCUGAAGGCAUCUAAGCGUGAAGCCCCCCUCAAGACGAGAUAUCCCAUUCGAAAGAAGUAAGACCCCUUGAAGACGACGAGGUAGAUAGGGCAGAGGUGGAAGUGCCGUAAGGCAUGGAGCUGACUGUUACUAAUCGGUCGAGGGCUUGAC
rnacentral:rRNA from 1 species